rnacentral:lncRNA from 1 species
CAUCUGAAGACUCGGGGCUCAGGAUGGGGAACCAUGCAGGGAAGCGGGACUUUGGUGCCGAGAAGGGCAAUAAGGACAGUGAAACUAACAGAGAAUAUGAAAAGAAGAGAAACACUCGUGACCUUUCCCGGGAGAUCUCGGAAGACAGUGAUGUGUUUGGAGCGGCAGAUGUGGUCCCGAACAAUGGGGCCCCCUCGCAGGGCGCGGCGGUGACAGACUCCAAGCGCACAGCGGACCCGAAGAAUGCCUGGCCCGAGGCCAGCCCAGCUGACCCGGGCGGCCGCCCCCACCUGGUCCGCCUCUUUUCCCGAGAUGCCCCGGGCCGGGAGGACAACACCUUCAAAGACCGGCCCUCGGAAUCAGACGAGCUCCAGACCAUCCAGGAGGACAGCGCGGCCGCUCCCGGGGCGGUGGACGCGAUGGCGGCCCAGAAGAGACCCUCCCAGAGAUCCAAGUACCUGGCCUCGGCGAGCACCAUGGACCACGCCAGGCACGGCUUCCUCCCCAGACACAGAGACACGGGCAUCCUCGACUCCCUCGGCCGCUUCUUUGGCUCGGACAGGGGUGCGCCGAAGCGGGGCUCCGGCAAGGUCCCGUGGCUCAAGCAGAGCAAGAGCCCCCUGGGCCCCCAUGCCCGCAGCCCACCCGGGCUGUGCAACAUGUACCAGGAUGGACACCACGCGGCCAGAACCACCCACUAUGGCUCCCUGCCCCAGAAGGCGCAGCACGGCCGGCCCCAAGACGAAAACCCCGUAGUGCACUUCUUCAAGAACAUCGUGACACCUCGCACACCUCCUCCAUCGCAAGGAAAGGGGGCUGAGGGCCAGAAGCCAGGAUUCGGCUAUGGAGGCAGAGCAUCUGACUACAAAUCGGCUCACAAGGGACUCAAGGGGCAUGACGCCCAGGGCACGCUUUCCAGAAUCUUCAAGCUGGUAAUGUACCUUCUCCACAUGGGAGGCGCUGGGAGGGGUCCGGGGAUGAGUCUGGGACGGCCUGGGGAUGCCAGUCUCCAGCCCCUCCACCUGCCGCUUCUCAGGAGUUGCUCCUGCGCAUCCCAGCCCUGCCAGGUGGCCGUUUCUGCAGAGCUCACCUGA